GGCAGCAUGGUCUAGUGGAAAAAGCACUGGCCUGGGAGUCCAAAGAUGUGGGUUCUAAUCCUGAUUCUGCCA
rnacentral:tRNA from 1 species